AAUGAACGCUGGCGGCAGGCCUAACACAUGCAAGUCGAGCGGAUCCUUCGGGAUUAGUGGCGGACGGGUGAGUAACGCGUGGGAACAUACCCUUUGGUACGGAAUAGCCUCGGGAAACUGGGAGUAAUACCGUAUGUGGUCGAGAGACGAAAGAUUUAUCGCCAAAGGAUUGGCCCGCGUUGGAUUAGGUAGUUGGUGGGGUAAUGGCCUACCAAGCCGACGAUCCAUAGCUGGUUUGAGAGGAUGAUCAGCCACACUGGGACUGAGACAGGCCCAGACUCCUACGGGAGGCAGCAGUGGGGAAUCUUAGACAAUGGGGGAAACCCUGAUCUAGCCAUGCCGCGUGAUCGAUGAAGGCCUUAGGGUUGUAAAGAUCUUUCAGGUGGGAAGAUAAUGACUGUACCACCAGAAGAAGCCCCGGCUAACUCCGUGCCAGCAGCCGCAGUAA
rnacentral:rRNA from 1 species